rnacentral:lncRNA from 1 species
UUCUCAUUCUCUCCUCUCUACAUCUGACUUGGGAGCUCUCUCAAGCAUUGGGACUUUGUCUUCUUUGUUGAAAAGAUAGCAAGGACCCUAAGUGAGCUUCUUUCAUUUCCUUUUUAUUGCUUUUUCCUUGUGUAGUGCAGAAAGUCAAACGUUUGGCCAACAGUUUGACUUUCGGUUUUGACCAUCAAUUGGUCAAGUCAAAGUUCAAUUGAACUUUGAAACGUGAUUGUAAUUACGAUAGUUAUAAUCCUUCGUGAUUAUAGCUGCUGAUUACCACGUUAGCUAGUUGUAGUGUCGAGUCAAAGUUUCGGUCAAAAUGCGUUUUAGCACGCAUUUUGCCUCGGAACUACUUUAGGGUAUCAAAACACUUUGUUUUGAUACCAAAUCAGUAGGUUAAACAUGUUUAACUCGACACUAUUAGUUUAGUGCUUGUUUAGGGUCGUGAGUUAAGCGGUCUAAACAACCGCUUAGACUUUCGAACCCGACCCGUUUGGUCGAUCUUUAGGAUCCGACCAAGCUUAGUUAGUGAUCAUAGUUGCAUAGGGAAUAACCUCAAGAGGUUAUACCUUAUGAUCACAUGGGAUUUGGUUAGUCAUUUGCUAGUUAGCUUGUAUGCCCAUAGGAAAUGACCAAAAUGCCCUUUUGAAGCUAAAAUCCGGAUAA